CACGCCGUAAACGAUGUCUGCUAGCCGUUGGGGUCCUUGAGGCCUCGGUGGCGCAGUUAACGCGAUAAGCAGACCGCCUGGGGAGUACGGCCGCAAGGUUAAAACUCAAAUGAAUUGACGGGGGCCCGCACAAGCGGUGGAGCAUGUGGUUUAAUUCGAUGCAACGCGAAGAACCUUACCAGGUCUUGACAUCCAGAGAACUUUCCAGAGAUGGAUUGGUGCCUUCGGGAACUCUGAGACAGGUGC
rnacentral:rRNA from 1 species